GAAAUGCGAUACGUAGUGUGAAUUGCAGAAUUCAGUGAAUCAUCGAAUCUUUGAACGCACAUUGCGCCCUUUGGUAUUCCAAAGGGCAUGCCUGUUCGAGCGUCAUUUGUACCCUCAAGCUUUGCUUGGUGUUGGGCGUUUUUGUCUUUGGCCUUGCCCAAAGACUCGCCUUAAAACGAUUGGCAGCCGGCCUACUGGUUUCGGAGCGCAGCACAUUUUUGCGCUUGCAACCAGCAAAAGAGGCCAGCAAUCCAUCAAGACUUCUUCUCACUUUUGACCUCGGAUCAGGUAGGGAUACCCGCUGAACUUAAGC
rnacentral:misc_RNA from 1 species